rnacentral:rRNA from 1 species
UACGUAGGGGGCUAGCGUUGUCCGGAAUCAUUGGGCGUAAAGAGCGUGUAGGCGGUCCGGUAAGUCCGCUGUGAAAGUCGGGGGCUCAACCCUCGAAUGCCGGUGGAUACUGUCGGGCUAGAGUGCGGAAGAGGCGAGUGGAAUUCCUGGUGUAGCGGUGAAAUGCGCAGAUAUCAGGAGGAACACCUAUUGCGAAGGCAGCUCACUGGCCCGAUACUGACGCUGAGGCACGAAAGCGUGGGGAGCAAACAGG